UUAAAAAUAUUAAUUAAUUAAAAUGUUAAUUAGUUAAAGAAUAAUUAAUCAAAUCAAAUGAACUUAUUGAAUAUCACUACAAAAGAAAGUAAACAUGAUAAAAACAAAUGGGCCCUUUCAAACCAAAAAGCCAAUGUGAGGCGCACCAGAUAGAAAGCUCAUGGGUGUAAAACGAAAUCUGGUCUUAAAAGCCCCAAGUAGAAGGCCCAUCCAGCAAUAAAGGGCUCAAGCCAUAGUCAACCAUGUUGACUCACUCUCACCGCAUGAUGAAACUACCUGGACUAGUCUAUACAUCACACGAUCUACAUCACGGGACCACGCAUUCUGGGUAUAGUGGCUACACGGGAUUAACUCCCCUAACCGACUAUGCAUGGGAGACAAGUGGCAAGUGAUCCGCCACUUGGCUCAACCAUCGAUGGCCCAACACGAAUCAAACAAAAAAGAAGAGCUCAAAACAAAUUUCCUCACGCCUCUCUUUUUCCAUCUUCCUCUCUCAAGCUCUCUGCAACCUAAAAAAUAAACCACCUAUCUCGCCGGAUCUCACCCAAACAAAAGGUUAGCUCAGAGAUAACGAAGCAUACGAGUUCAGAGAUGUACCGAUUUUAAGAAGACAACAUCAACCUCACGAAUCUGCUAAAUAAACUUUGUGGAUCUAAUGGCUUAAAGUAUUCAACAUCAUCACAUCGAGCAUGUAAGCGGAAAAUAAAUUCAACUACAAAGUACUCAACAGUAUAAAUCAGAAGAUGGAAAUCUCAUCGGAGCUUUAAAGCUCCGACAAGAUUCCGGCGAGCAGGAUUACCUCAAAGUAACGGUGCCAGCCAGGUCCUCCUCUCUUCAAUGAUUGGAAUCCUGAAUUUAUAGAGGUGAUGAUUUGGUGUACGUAUUGUGUGCUGGCAAGAUGCAGCGGAUCAUUCCGUUGGAAUCAAAUCUUUUCUUUAGAUUUUGGUGGGGACCAAAUAUGUGGUAGGAAACGAACUUGAUUGUGGUCCCAAAAAUCUCCAAAUGCGUGGCCGUCUUCUCUGAAUCUUCCGUCAAGUUUUUACUGUUGUGAAACCUUCAACGGUUAUGGUCAUAUGUAGGCUCGGUUUGGUACAAGCGAUUAGGGACUGACCUGCACACUCGGGAGUGGUUCCAAUUCUGAUGGAGUACUAUCAAAACAGUCAUGCCUUUUCCUUAUAGUGGUUCGCUGCUGGUCUAACGAGGGUAAGCAAGUUAGUGUGGAUAAUGUAGCUUCAGAUCUACACGUGAGUUCUUUGAAUGAGUUAUUGAGUUACAUUGUCCAGCACAAGAAAGAUUUCGGCAGAAACUUCUCAAGAAGAUCAUAAAGGUACUGUAAUUACAAAAGGCCAUCCAUAUGAAUCUUCUAUAGAGGUUGUGGAAAAUUCUAAAUUGGUCGUGCCAUCUUCUCAGCAUAGUGAAGUCAAGCAAUCUUCCAUUGUCACUGGUGAAGAAAUAAAAGUUGUGCACUCCGAAGAAUCUAUUAAAGAUCAAAAACUUCCUAGUGCCAAAAUUAUUCCAAUUGGAAAUAAAUAGCCCUAGGGAUGGUUCUUUUGAUGGAAACAAGUAUGCAGAAGAACAAGACGAUAUGGAGUGCUGCUUUUGCAGGGCGCAGCUUUGGGUCAUGGCUUGGUGAUGGUGUUGCCUGGAGUUAUGAAUUCCUUACUGUUUCGAUAAUUUGGACAUCCGAAACUUGUAGGAAGUUUAUUGAAUGGCUUUGUUAUUUUGCAGGGUGCUGUUAUGGUAACACAAGUUGGCGGGUGACUUCAAGUUCUAUCAUUUCACUUCUGUUUUGAAAGGAGCAGCUGCUGGUUUUGAAAGCGUGCAUCAUCUACAGUGCUUUGGAUUUUUUCUUGGGAUGCUUUGCCUGUGUGUGAACCGAUAUGUGAGCUGCUAUGCUUGAUGCUCAUUGUGUUGUAUAUCUUUUGAUCUGGGUCUUCCAGGGGCUGCAUAGGUUAGCUUGUGGGCUUCACUUCAGGUUUCUAGGUUGCUUAAGAUUUGUACUGACUUGUGUGACUCGUUCUGGCACAAUACUACUUGAGGCCUCUUUUCAACCAAACUUUCCAUCUUUAGGAAAUAACCGUACCAUCAAGUCGAAGGAAAUGACAAGGAAAUGAUGGUGUCGCAGGUGAAACAGAUAUUUGCUGAGAUGAACUUUGUGAUUGACCUUAGGUGUGGUUUUGUAUGUGUUGUCAUGAUGCUUAGGUAAGGUACUUGGUCAUUGUGUGUCAACAUGUGAAUUAGUUUCUGGUUGAAUAUGCUGCUCAUGCUGCAAUUUGAUGAUCACCGUUUUGAAGGACAUGGGAUUUACGGUGUGGAAGGCCAUGGCAUGCUGUAGGUCUAAUGCAUCUGUCUUGGAUGGUGAUGCAGGCUGGAUUGUGCUUAUCCGGACAUGGCAUGUUGCCUGUUAGAUUUUUGGAAAUCUAUUUCUUUAAUUUGGCUUGACUGUAAUGUAUCUUAAGUCACAGGGUUGUCAUGAACGGUCUUGUGGUAUGGUUUUAUUAAUGUAUUUGAAACAACUUUGUUUGUAAAUUGAAACUUGUGGUUCAAAAAUCAUAAAUCAAAGCUAAUACCCACACCAGAUGACGUUAUGCAUGAAA